rnacentral:rRNA from 1 species
AGAGUUUGAUUCUGGCUCAGGAUGAACGCUGGCGGCGUGCCUAACACAUGCAAGUCGAGCGGACCAAUGCUCAUUUCAGCUUUACUGAUUUGAGCAUUGGUUAGCGGCGGACGGGUGAGUAACGCGUGGGCAACCUGCCCUGUGCAGGGGGAUAACACAGCGAAAGCUGUGCUAAUACCCCAUAAGACUACGCUAUCGCAUGAUAGAGUAGUCAAAGCUUUAGCGGCACAGGAUGGGCCCGCGUCUGAUUAGCUAGUUGGUGGGGUAACGGCCUACCAAGGCGACGAUCAGUAGCCGACCUGAGAGGGUGAUCGGCCACACUGGAACUGAGACACGGUCCAGACUCCUACGGGAGGCAGCAGUGGGGAAUAUUGCACAAUGGGGGAAACCCUGAUGCAGCAACGCCGCGUGAGCGAAGAAGGCCUUCGGGUCGUAAAGCUCUGUCCUAAGGGAAGAAGUAUGACGGUACCUUAGGAGGAAGCCCCGGCUAACUACGUGCCAGCAGCCGCGGUAAUACGUAGGGGGCGAGCGUUAUCCGGAAUCACUGGGCGUAAAGGGUGCGUAGGCGGCCGAGUAAGCCAGGGGUGAAAGGCUACGGCUUAACCGUAGUAAGCCUUUGGAACUACUUGGCUUGAGUGCAGGAGAGGAGAGUGGAAUUCCUAGUGUAGCGGUGAAAUGCGUAGAUAUUAGGAGGAACACCAGUGGCGAAGGCGACUCUCUGGACUGUAACUGACGCUGAGGCACGAAAGCGUGGGGAGCAAACAGGAUUAGAU